rnacentral:rRNA from 1 species
UUGAACGCUGGCGGCAGGCCUAACACAUGCAAGUCGAGCGGAUGAAGGGAGCUUGCUCCUGGAUUCAGCGGCGGACGGGUGAGUAAUGCCUAGGAAUCUGCCUGGUAGUGGGGGAUAACGUCCGGAAACGGGCGCUAAUACCGCAUACGUCCUGAGGGAGAAAGUGGGGGAUCUUCGGACCUCACGCUAUCAGAUGAGCCUAGGUCGGAUUAGCUAGUUGGUGGGGUAAAGGCCUACCAAGGCGACGAUCCGUAACUGGUCUGAGAGGAUGAUCAGUCACACUGGAACUGAGACACGGUCCAGACUCCUACGGGAGGCAGCAGUGGGGAAUAUUGGACAAUGGGCGAAAGCCUGAUCCAGCCAUGCCGCGUGUGUGAAGAAGGUCUUCGGAUUGUAAAGCACUUUAAGUUGGGAGGAAGGGCAGUAAGUUAAUACCUUGCUGUUUUGACGUUACCAACAGAAUAAGCACCGGUUAACUUCGUG